GACGAACGCUGGCGGCGUGCUUAACACAUGCAAGUCGAACGGAAAGGCGCUUCUGGGUACCCGAGUGGCGAACGGGUGGGUAACACGUGGGUGAACUGCUCUGCACCUUGGGAUAAGCCUGGGAAACUGGGUCUAAUACCGAGAUUGACAACGCACGUCAUGGUGAGUGGUGGAAAGCUUUUGCGGUGUGGGAUGGGGCGGCGGGCUAUCGGUGUGUUGGUCUGGUAAUGGCGUACCAAGGCGACGAGGGUUAGCCGGCCUGAGAGGUGGACCGGACACACGGGCACUAAGAUACGGCCCAGCAGCAUACGGGAGGCAGCAGUGGGGAAUAUUGCACAAUGGGCGCAAGCCAGAUGCAGCGACGCCGCGUGAGGGAUGACGACCUUCGGGUUGUAAACCUCUUUCAACAGGGACGAAGCGCAAGUGACGGUACCUAUAGAAGAAGCACCGGCCAACUACGUG
rnacentral:rRNA from 1 species